rnacentral:rRNA from 1 species
GCUUGCUUCUGUUCGGUUAGCGGCGGACGGGUGAGUAACACGUGGGUAACCUGCCCGUAAGACCGGGAUAACUCCGGGAAACCGGGGCUAAUACCGGAUAACACCGAAGACCGCAUGGUCUUUGGUUGAAAGGUGGCUUUUGCUACCACUUACGGAUGGGCCCGCGGCGCAUUAGCUAGUUGGUGAGGUAACGGCUCACCAAGGCGACGAUGCGUAGCCGGCCUGAGAGGGUGACCGGCCACACUGGGACUGAGACACGGCCCAGACUCCUACGGGAGGCAGCAGUAGGGAAUCUUCCGCAAUGGACGAAAGUCUGACGGAGCGACGCCGCGUGAGCGAAGAAGGUCUUCGGAUCGUAAAGCUCUGUUGUUAGGGAAGAAGAAGUACCGUUCGAAUAGGGCGGUACGGUGACGGUACCUAACGAGAAAGCCCCGGCUAACUACGUGCCAGCAGCCGCGGUA